rnacentral:rRNA from 1 species
CACUAUGCCUAGCCGUAAACAUUGAUAGUAAACUACGCCCACUAUCCGCCCGGGAACUACGAGCACCAGCUUGAAACCCAAAGGACUUGGCGGUGCUUUAGAUCCACCUAGAGGAGCCUGUUCUAGAACCGAUUACCCCCGUUCAACCUCACCUUUCCUUGUUUUCCCCGCCUAUAUACCACCGUCGUCAGCUUACCCUGUGAAGAACUCAUAGUAAGCAAGAUUGGCAUAGCCCAAAACGUCAGGUCGAGGUGUAGCGUAUGGAAAGGGAAGAAAUGGGCUACAUUCACUAACAUAGUGAAACACGAACGAUACACUGAAAUACGUAUCUGAAGGAGGAUUUAGCAGUAAGCAGAAAAUAGAGCGUUCCGCUGAAACUGGCCCUGAAGCGCGCACACACCGCCCGUCACUCUCCCCAAGCUUACUAACCUUAAGUACCUAAGACCCUAAAACUGCAAAGGGGAGGCAAGUCGUAA